CAUACACUGACUACCUGUGCUAGCUGAUCCACUAAAGGAAAACACAUUUUGUAACCCUCCUUACUCUCCUCCCUCUCCCCCCUUUUAACUUUUUAUUGAUCAUACCACCAGCAGCACCAACAUGGUCCCUCCUGUUUAAUGAUCUGACCACAUUUCACCCAGGAGUUGUGCCUGAGCGAAUUUGCAGAGGCUGUGUUCUGCGUGGAGGAGAGGGAUGCAAGGCUGGCAUGGCUGCACUAAGAGGAGAUAGCAUGUUAACACAUGAACUGCCCUUACCUACAACCAGCCUCUGGCCGUGUCCUGCCUUUAUCUGCACGGUGCUUCUCUACAGGUAUGUGAUACCCAUGGCUGUUGCCUGGUUCAAGGUAUAAACAAUCCUUUUUCUAUUUUUUUUUCCUAAAUUAUUUUUACCCAGACCGGUUCUGCAGUCCAGUUCACUGUGCAGCUGCACAAACAACUCUACUGGUGUAACAGAAGGGCUGCCACAAGGUUUUAUCAGUUCAUCAGCAAUAAAAAUACUACGUCGUAGCUCUAGGAAGGAGCAAAGUGCAGCCUGUGCCUGCAGGAAUCAUUGCAUCACCUACUGCUCUUAUGGCUACAUCUACAAAACACCUGGAGUGCUCUGGAGCAUGCUGACUCUCACCUGUCCUGGGGAUACAGUUCCAACUUUCCAUUGCCACAUCUGUUGCAUGUAGGCCAGGAGAAAGCAGUGCUCUCAUUAACUCCAACAACAGUACCUGCAGAACAUGGAAUUCUUACAAAAUGCUAACAUUAAGCCAGCAAACACAGUCACUCUUGGCUUCACAACAGCGGGUUUGAGCCUUUCUGACCCACAGCUUAAGACUUGUCAGAGCAAGAAUCAGCUCUUCCAACAAUCUCACUCCCUUUCUCCUUAGUCCCUGCAACUAGGGGUGAAAGUACAGCAGUGUUACAUUCUAAAAAUACCAGAAAGUAGAUAAUUGACAAUUAACUUUCCAAACAGGCUCAGUUCUUUUGGUUUGGAUUUUAGUGCUUUUCUGAUUUGUUUUUGCUUGUUUGCUUUCUUUCUGGUCCUCUGAUGUUUUCUUGGCAAUAAACAGUGAUAAAAAUCA